GCCGGGCUAGCUCAGUCAGUGGAGCAUGAGACUCUUAAUCUCAGGGUCAUGGGUUCAAGUCCCACAUUUGGCA